rnacentral:lncRNA from 1 species
AAUUUUAGAGAGGGGAUUUUGAAUAAAAAGUCCAGAAAUUAAAGAGUUUCUUUUUUGAGUGAGAAACAGUCUGGAGAACUAUAAGAAAUCAGUUCUUCAGAGAGAGUUUAGGGCUGGUCUUUUCUUUGGAAUCAGUUGUUUAGUUAAAAAAGGGAGAGAAAUAUUGAGAGUGGCCAAUUCUUGAGAGUUUGGCCAGUCUUUGAGAGCUUAAACACACAACAGAGUUUUCAGAGCGUGGGAAUACUUCUAUAAACACUAAGAGAGAGAGUUUAAGGGAUUACUAUUUGAUUUCCCGAUUAUGUGCCUAAUUCAAAUCCCUUAAUUCAACUCCUGGUGAUUAAGCUGUGAUGUGUUUCUGGGAAUCAGUUCUGAGGUCAUUUGAGCUUAUUUGAGCUAUUUGAGUUUGAGUAUUUUGUUUUUGUCUGGUUUCAAAUUCUCCUGGGUUUGCUGCAUUCAUUACUAGGCUAUAGUUGAUUGCUGUCUGUGUUGCUGCUUUGCUACUGCUGAUUAUCCUUCUUUUUUCUUGUAUUCCAUUAUCCAGGUGUUUGUUUCUCUCCUGAUGUAUUGAUAUUGAGUUUGAAGUAGAGAUGCAAAUCAGAAAUGUUUACCCCUGUGCUUAUUAAGCUCUGUUUGUUUUGGACCAUUAUGUAUUAAUGCAUAAAUAGUUUAGACACAAAAUCUUAGUGUAGCUUAGUCAUGAUUUGCAUAUGACUUAAACUGGACUAUAAUUGGAUUGUAUUAAAUGGUAGUUAUUCAGUUUAUGUCUUGUGCAAAUGGAUCCUUGAAUCUAUUUCAUUUCCGUUUGGCUGAGAAAUAUAAAGCAUUCAUGAUUACUUGAAACUUUUGUUUGUAUAACUUCUAUGUACAAACGUGAGCUGUGUAAGUUGCUUCAUCCGUACAAUGUAGUGUGGUUUAAUUUCUCCAAGUAAUUAACCCGGGUCUAGAUUUCGAAAAUUAUCAAGUGUAGUGAUAUGUGAAGCAAUUAGUAUAGAUACUUCUUAGCCUAAUAUAGUUUUAUUUAUGGUCCUUAUGUGCAAUGAAGUACUCAAAAUGGUGAACACUUCAAUUGGUAAUCCUCAACCCAUUAACCCGGGUCUAGAUUUCGAAAAUUAUCAAGUGUAGUGGAUAUGUGAAGCAAUUAGCAUAGAUACUUCUUAGCCUAAUAUAGUUUCAUUUGUGGUCCUUAUGUGCAAUGAAGUACUCAAAAUGGUGAACACUUAAAUUGGACUGUAUAAGUUGGAUUUCUAAUUCAUCUUUGCAUAAUAACAAUU